rnacentral:lncRNA from 1 species
GGGCAUUCUGAGGGCAGUAAACAGAGUCAGUCAUAAGCAGGACCUUUAGAUUGCUGCUAAGAUAACUUCCUCUCUCUAUAAAGACUUCUACAAACCAGGAGAAUUGAACUCAAUGAUAUUAGAGAUGAUGGAACAGCAGCUGUCCCAUGAAGAAAAGAUCAAAGGAAUACAGCCAAAAAUGGCAGGAGAAAAGUAUUAUUCGAGUUUUCUCAAUGGUACUAGUAUUUGUAUCUCGAACCACUUGCAUCCUAGUCAACAUGCUUGGAAAGUUUGUUCUCAGCAUUCGUUACCUGUCUGAAACACCGAGGUCUCCUAGUUCCCCAACAUUUUUCACUCA